UACGGAGGGGGCUAGCGUUGUUCGGAAUUACUGGGCGUAAAGCGUGCGCAGGCGGUUUUGUAAGUUUGUCGUGAAAUCCCCGGGCUCAACCUGGGAAUGGCGAUGAAGACUGCAAGGCUAGAAUCUGGCAGAGGGGGGUAGAAUUCCACGUGUAGCAGUGAAAUGCGUAGAGAUGUGGAGGAACACCGAUGGCGAAGGGCAGCCCCCCUGGGUCAAGAUUGACGCUCAUGCACGAA
rnacentral:rRNA from 1 species